rnacentral:rRNA from 1 species
GGGCACGUGCUAUGAUGCAAGUCGAACGAACUCUGGUAUUGAUUGGUGCUUGCAUCAUGAUUUACAUUUGAGUGAGUGGCGAACUGGUGAGUAACACGUGGGAAACCUGCCCAGAAGCGGGGGAUAACACCUGGAAACAGAUGCUAAUACCGCAUAACAACUUGGACCGCAUGGUCCGAGCUUGAAAGAUGGCUUCGGCUAUCACUUUUGGAUGGUCCCGCGGCGUAUUAGCUAGAUGGUGGGGUAACGGCUCACCAUGGCAAUGAUACGUAGCCGACCUGAGAGGGUAAUCGGCCACAUUGGGACUGAGACACGGCCCAAACUCCUACGGGAGGCAGCAGUAGGGAAUCUUCCACAAUGGACGAAAGUCUGAUGGAGCAACGCCGCGUGAGUGAAGAAGGGUUUCGGCUCGUAAAACUCUGUUGUUAAAGAAGAACAUAUCUGAGAGUAACUGUUCAGGUAUUGACGGUAUUUAACCAGAAAGCCACGGCUAACUACGUGCCAGCAGCCGCGGUAAUACGUAGGUGGCAAGCGUUGUCCGGAUUUAUUGGGCGUAAAGCGAGCGCAGGCGGUUUUUUAAGUCUGAUGUGAAAGCCUUCGGCUCAACCGAAGAAGUGCAUCGGAAACUGGGAAACUUGAGUGCAGAAGAGGACAGUGGAACUCCAUGUGUAGCGGUGAAAUGCGUAGAUAUAUGGAAGAACACCAGUGGCGAAGGCGGCUGUCUGGUCUGUAACUGACGCUGAGGCUCGAAAGUAUGGGUAGCAAACAGGAUUAGAUACCCUGGUAGUCCAUACCGUAAACGAUGAAUGCUAAGUGUUGGAGGGUUUCCGCCCUUCAGUGCUGCAGCUAACGCAUUAAGCAUUCCGCCUGGGGAGUACGGCCGCAAGGCUGAAACUCAAAGGAAUUGACGGGGGCCCGCACAAGCGGUGGAGCAUGUGGUUUAAUUCGAAGCUACGCGAAGAACCUUACCAGGUCUUGACAUACUAUGCAAAUCUAAGAGAUUAGACGUUCCCUUCGGGGACAUGGAUACAGGUGGUGCAUGGUUGUCGUCAGCUCGUGUCGUGAGAUGUUGGGUUAAGUCCCGCAACGAGCGCAACCCUUAUUAUCAGUUGCCAGCAUUAAGUUGGGCACUCUGGUGAGACUGCCGGUGACAAACCGGAGGAAGGUGGGGAUGACGUCAAAUCAUCAUGCCCCUUAUGACCUGGGCUACACACGUGCUACAAUGGAUGGUACAACGAGUUGCGAACUCGCGAGAGUAAGCUAAUCUCUUAAAGCCAUUCUCAGUUCGGAUUGUAGGCUGCAACUCGCCUACAUGAAGUCGGAAUCGCUAGUAAUCGCGGAUCAGCAUGCCGCGGUGAAUACGUUCCCGGGCCUUGUACACACCGCCCGUCACACCAUGAGAGUUUGUAACACCCAAAGUCGGUGGGGUAACCUUUUAGGAACCAGCCGCCUAAGGUCAACAGU